rnacentral:rRNA from 1 species
GGGGAAUAUUGGACAAUGGGCGCAAGCCUGAUCCAGCCAUGCCGCGUGGGUGAAGAAGGCCUUAUGGUUGUAAAGCACUUUAAGCGAGGAGGAGGCUCUUUUGGUUAAUACCCAAGAUGAGUGGACGUUACUCGCAGAAUAAGCACCGGCUAACUCUGUGCCAGCAGCCGCGGUAAUACAGAGGGUGCGAGCGUUAAUCGGAUUUACUGGGCGUAAAGCGUGCGUAGGCGGCUUUUUAAGUCGGAUGUGAAAUCCCCGAGCUUAACUUGGGAAUUGCAUUCGAUACUGGGAAGCUAGAGUAUGGGAGAGGUAGGUGGAAUUCUCGGUGUAGGGGUAAAAUCCGUAGAGAUCGAGAGGAAUACUCAUUGCGAAGGCGACCUGCUGGAACAUUACUGACGCUGAGGUGCGAAAGCGUGGGGAGCAAACA